rnacentral:rRNA from 1 species
GACCUGGCCGGGCGGUCCUCCUCACGGUGCGUACUGUCUGGCUGGGCCUUACCUCUUGGUGAGCCGGCAUGCCCUUUACUGGGUGUGUCGGGGAACCAGGACUUUUACCUUGAGAAAAUUAGAGUGUUCAAAGCAGGCCUAUGCCUGAAUACGUUAGCAUGGAAUAAUGAAAUAGGACGUGCGGUUCUAUUUUGUUGGUUUCUAGAGUCGCCGUAAUGAUUAAUAGGGAUAGUUG